GGAAGAGAGAGAACAAAUCAAGGUCGGAGAGGUUGAGUAUCUCGGGUGAAGUCACACUCUGGUGAAUAGUACAGCCAGGAUUCCUUUUUAUUUAGUCCUGGGGAUUGAAGCCAGAGGGGCUCUACCACUAAGCUACAUCCCCAGCCCUUUUUACUUUUUAUUUUUGAGACAGGGUCUCGCUGAGUUGCUGAGGCUGGCCUUGAAAUUGAGAUCCUCCUGCCUCAGCCUCCAGGAUUCUAAUCCUGUUUCUGCUGCUAAUAGCAGUGCUCUUAUUGCCCCGCCAUGCUGCCCUGUGUCUGGCUAAGGAGUUUGGACUUUGUCCGAAAGUCACAGGUAUCAGCAGAGUCGUGGGAGAGGGGGACACAGGGUCAGAUGUGCACUUUAGGAAUGGAAUGUGGUGGAGGAGGGAUGAUACUGGGGAGAUGGCCUAAGUAUAGAUGCUUCUUAGAUUUAUCACAGCUACCACCUCCUCCUCCACGAAUCACGUCCCUCCUUGCCCAGGUUUAUUUUCAAUGCAGUGACCAGAGAAAGACUUUACAAGCCCAAGUCUGAUUACGACACUGAUCUAAUCAAAAUGGGCCAAUGGCUUUCUGCAGGACUCUGUCUUCCAUGGACUGAACUCCUGUCACUCUUGUCCCAUUUUGCUCAACCACAGAAGUUUUGCUUUUUUCUUUUGAACAUGUCAAGGAUAUUCCUGCCUCAGGGCCUUUGCAUGUACUAGUCCCUCUGUCUUGAAGCUUAUUCCCCAGAUAUCAAGAUUAUACACCCCUUGCUGUCUUUUUUGAGGUGUCUGUUCUAACAUCAACCUUAUCAGAAAGCCUUCCCUCCCCACCUCCAUUAUUCUCUAUUCUCCUAAACUACCCAAUUUUUCUUGCUGACCCUUAUCAUCAUCUGACAGGCCAAGCAUUUGGGUAUCCGUGGCUCACUGUCUGUCUGCUACCCUAAUGAAGAAAGGGACUCUUGGUUCACUUCUUUAUCCUCAGUACCUAGAAUCAUAAUGGGCCAAGGUAAGCCCUUCGUUAAUAUUGUUGAGUGCAUUAGCCUCCUCGAGGAGGUAGGAAAGAAUGUUUUUAUAUUUCUUCCUACCCUCUGUUUAGCUCAGUGAAGCCACCAGCCGCUUCCUUGCAGCUGAUUGGAGGUCUCCUCCCACGUGGCCCAGAACAUCCUGCAUGUGAUCUAUCCACUCUGGGGACUUUCUGGGGGGCCACUCUUCCCAGGGUGGCACCGGGUUGUUGUUUUCUGUUCUGGAGUCCUGCCAGUGCUUUCCCGGUUGAUGGGAAUUUACCACAUUUCAGUUUCUUUUUUGAAUAAUAAAGUCUCCUCAUGAACCCUUGUUGUUCCUUCCCUUAGGAGGAAGCUAUCUUGUUUUUCAGUUUGAAGUUCAGGGCAGAGAAAACACGGUGGAUGGAAGGGCUGCCAGUCAUCCCGUUGCCCCGCCCCCUUCACAUGUACACAAAGGAAGGAGGAAAAGAAGGAACGUGCAAGGAACUUAGAGCUGAAAUCUCCAAAAGGAAUCAAGAAUGUCAGUGUUGGAGGGUCGUACAGAUCAUCUCCUCUCCCACUGGUUGUCCCCCUACUAUGGUGGAUACCCCAAUGGAUGCUCUUCCCCAGGGGACCCCUCUGCCAUCACAAUUACUAAAUGAAGGACAUAAGUGGCAGGAAAACUUAGCCUGGGUUAUUUCAGUGGAAUCCUGGUAGGUGACAC
rnacentral:lncRNA from 1 species